rnacentral:misc_RNA from 1 species
AUUUUUAGAGCAAUGUGAAAAGGAUAAGGUUCGUGUUCUUGUGCACUGCAUGUCUGGAAAAAAUAGGUCUCCGGCUAUUGUGAUAGCUUACUUAAUGAAGUCCAAAGGAUGGACGCUUGCACAAAGUUUCCAGUGGGUGAAAGAGCGGAGACCAUCGGUUGACUUGACCCAAGCUGUGUACCAGCAGUUGCAGGAAUACGAGCAAAAAACUUUUGGGUCAUCUGAUGGCAACAACCCUGCCUUGCCAGUUUUCCCACAUGCAGGCGUGCCAUCCCUUAGCUUUGGGUUUCCAAAGGUUAAUGAUCCAGUUCCUGGUGCUGCUUUCAACAGCAUCAGCACUACCUCCUUUUUGACCCGUCCUCUGCAUGUUCCUCCUGAGUACCAGUUUGGAGCUGGCCAUCCUCAACAUAGUUUAUCUGAGAGCCCCUUCACUGCCAGCCCACAGAACCCAAAUGGAGGAGACAUUUCAAUGGAUUCAUGAAAUUUCGAGCAUUUCACCCAAUGAGAUCAAAAGGUUAACGAGUUUUCAGAAGUUUGAAACUACAAAUGAAUCUUUUGCUUUGUGGGAUACUUUGUUUUGCCUAAUUAAAUACGGGAGUGUUGUUCUAAUGCAAUAGUAGAGGUUUCAUCAUCAAAUACACUGGCUGCUGAAGUUGUAUUUGUCUUUGUUGCUGCUUGCAAAUAUAGGAUUGAUUUUUUUUUAUUAUUAUUAAAAAUACACAAAAAGCUGAAGUGGAACAUGCCUAUUCAAUCAAAGGCUCUUCAAAGUAUUCUUUAUGUGGGACCAUCGAUUUAUUGGUGGUGGACAGC